UAGAGUUUGAUCAUGGCUCAGGAUGAACGCUGGCGGCGUGCUUAACACAUGCGAGUCGAACGGUGAACACGGAGCUUGCUUCGUGGGAUCAGUGGCGAACGGGUGAGUAACACGUGAGCAACCUGCCCCUGACUCUGGGAUAAGCGCUGGAAACGGCGUCUAAUACUGGAUACGAGACGUGAUCGCAUGGUCAACGUCUGGAAAGAAUUUCGGUUGGGGAUGGGCUCGCGGCCUAUCAGCUUGUUGGUGAGGUAAUGGCUCACCAAGGCGUCGACGGGUAGCCGGCCUGAGAGGGUGACCGGCCACACUGGGACUGAGACACGGCCCAGACUCCUACGGGAGGCAGCAGUGGGGAAUAUUGCACAAUGGGCGCAAGCCUGAUGCAGCAACGCCGCGUGAGGGAUGACGGCCUUCGGGUUGUAAACCUCUUUUAGCAGGGAAGAAGCGAAAGUGACGGUACCUGCAGAAAAAGCGCCGGCUAACUACGUGCCAGCAGCCGCGGUAAUACGUAGGGCGCAAGCGUUAUCCGGAAUUAUUGGGCGUAAAGAGCUCGUAGGCGGUUUGUCGCGUCUGCUGUGAAAUCCCGAGGCUCAACCUCGGGCCUGCAGUGGGUACGGGCAGACUAGAGUGCGGUAGGGGAGAUUGGAAUUCCUGGUGUAGCGGUGGAAUGCGCAGAUAUCAGGAGGAACACCGAUGGCGAAGGCAGAUCUCUGGGCCGUAACUGACGCUGAGGAGCGAAAGGGUGGGGAGCAAACAGGCUUAGAUACCCUGGUAGUCCACCCCGUANACGUUGGGAACUAGUUGUGGG
rnacentral:rRNA from 1 species